rnacentral:rRNA from 1 species
GAUCAUUAUUGAAUGAAACCUUUGGCUGGAUGCUGUUGUGCUGGUCCUUUGGGGCAAUGUGCACACCCCUGGUCAUUUGUUUUUUUUUUCUGUUCCACCUGUGCACUGCCUGUAGACACACACUCUGUGUCUAUGAAUAUAUAUAUAUGCUACACACACAAUUACAAUAUGGACAUAUAUUGGUUGGCAUAUUACAUGCAUGUAUGACCAAAAAAAAAUACAACUUUCAACAAUGGAUCUCUUGGCUCUCGCAUCGAUGAAGAACACAGCGAAAUGUGAUAAGUAAUGUGAAUUGCAGAAUCCAGUGAAUCAUCGAAUCUUUGAACGCAUCUUGCGCUCCUUGGCAUUCCGAGGAGUAUGCCUGUUUGAGUGUCAUUAAACUGUCAAAGCACCUUUCUCUGGUGUUUUGGACCUUUGGGAGUGCUUUGCUGGUCUGUUUGAACCAGCUCUCCUCAAAAGCAAUUAGCUUGGAGACCAUCAGUGUGAUAGCUUGUUUGCACUGACUCGAGUGUCUCUGCUUGUCCUCUUUUUGACCUCAAAUCAGGCAGGACUACCCGCUGAACUUAAGCAUAUCAAUAAGCGGAGGAAAAGAAACUAACAAGGAUUCCCCUAGUAACUGCGAGUGAAGCGGGAAAAGCUCAAAUUUGAAAUCUGGCAGUCCUUUUUUUCUUCUUUGGCUGUCUGAGUUGUAAUCUAGAGAAGCACUUACCUGCACUGGACCAUGUAUAAGUCUCCUGGAAUGGAGCGUCGCAGAGGGUGAGAAUCCCGUCUUUGACAUGGACUGCCAGUGUGUUGUGGUGUGCUCUCAAAGAGUCGAGUUGUUUGGGAAUGCAGCUCUAAAUGGGUGGUAAACUCCAUCUAAAGCUAAAUAUUGGCGAGAGACCGAUAGCGAACAAGUACCGUGAGGGAAAGAUGAAAAGGACUUUGGAAAGAGAGUUAAACAGUAUGUGAAAUUGUUGAAAGGGAAACACUUGAAGUCAGUUAUGUUGGCUGGGGAUCAGCCUAGCUGUUUUUUGCUGGGUGAAUUUCCUAGUCCGACAGGCCAACAUCAGUUCUGGCUGUUGGAAAAGAGCAGAGGGAAUGUGGCACCUUUGGGUGUGUUAUAGCCUUCUGUCAUAUGUGGCAGUCGGGANCUGAGGGAUGCAGCAUGCCGUGAGGCCGGGUUUCGACCACGU